rnacentral:rRNA from 1 species
UACGGGGGGGGCAAGCGUUGUUCGGAAUUACUGGGCGUAAAGGGCGCGUAGGCGGCCUGCUAAGUCACACGUGAAAUCCCUCGGCUCAACCGGGGAACUGCGUGUGAUACUGGCGGGCUUGAAUUCGGGAGAGGGAUGUGGAAUUCCAGGUGUAGCGGUGAAAUGCGUAGAUAUCUGGAGGAACACCGGUGGCGAAGGCGGCAUCCUGGACCGAGAUUGACGCUGAGGCGCGAAAGCUAGGGAGCAAACGGG